UGCAAGUCGAGCGGAGAUAAAGUUUAACACUGAGUACUUUAGAGAUUUGGAGUAUUGAGUGUUGAACUUUAUCUUAGCGGCGGACGGGUGAGUAACGCGUGAGCAACCUACCUUUUACUAGGGGAUAACAGUUGGAAACGACUGCUAAUACCGUAUAAGACCACACUAUCGAGUGAUAGAGGGGUCAAAGGGAAUUACCGGUAAAAGACGGGCUCGCGUCCCAUUAGUUAGUUGGUAGGGUAAUGGCCUACCAAGACAUCGAUGGGUAGCCGACCUGAGAGGGUGAUCGGCCACACUGGGACUGAGACACGGCCCAGACUCCUACAGGAGGCAGCAGUGGGGAAUAUUGCGCAAUGGGGGAAACCCUGACGCAGCAACGCCGCGUGAGUGAAGAAGGUUUUCGGAUCGUAAAGCUCUGUCAUUGGGGACGAAUAAAUGACGGUACCCAAGGAGGAAGCCCCGGCUAACUACGUGCCAGCAGCCGCGGUAAUACGUAGGGGGCAAGCGUUGUCCGGAAUUAUUGGGCGUAAAGGGUGCGUAGGCGGCCUUAUAAGUCAGAUGUGAAAUACCAGGGCUUAACUCUGGGGGUGCAUUUGAAACUAUAGGGCUUGAGUGCAGGAGAGGAAAGUGGAAUUCCUAGUGUAGCGGUGAAAUGCGUAGAGAUUAGGAGGAACACCAGUGGCGAAGGCGACUUUCUGGACUGUAACUGACGCUGAUGCACGAAAGCGUGGGUAGCGAACAGGAUUAGAUACCCUGGUAGUCCACGCUGUAAACGAUGGAUACUAGKKGUAGGGGGUAUCGACCCC
rnacentral:rRNA from 1 species